UAGGAAACUCGGCUCCAGCGA
ensembl:piRNA 21ur-1691 ncRNA